rnacentral:rRNA from 1 species
CCUGGCUCAGAUUGAACGCUGGCGGCAUGCCUUACACAUGCAAGUCGAACGGCAGCGGACCUUCGGGUGCCGGCGAGUGGCGAACGGGUGAGUAAUAUAUCGGAACGUACCUUUCAGUGGGGGAUAACGUAGCGAAAGUUACGCUAAUACCGCAUAUUCUGUGAGCAGGAAAGCAGGGGAUCGCAAGACCUUGCGCUGAUUGAGCGGCCGAUAUCAGAUUAGCUAGUUGGUGAGGUAAAGGCUCCCCAAGGCGACGAUCUGUAGCGGGUCUGAGAGGAUGAUCCGCCACACUGGAACUGAGACACGGUCCAGACUCCUACGGGAGGCAGCAGUGGGGAAUUUUGGACAAUGGGCGCAAGCCUGAUCCAGCCAUGCCGCGUGAGUGAAGAAGGCCUUCGGGUUGUAAAGCUCUUUCGGCCGGGAAGAAAUCGCACAGGUUAAUACCCUGUGUGGAUGACGGUACCGGAAUAAGAAGCACCGGCUAACUACGUG